rnacentral:tRNA from 1 species
UCUAUAGUGGCAGAAUAGUGCAAUAACUUUAAGCGUUAUAUAUAAAGAAAACCUUUCUAUAGAA